GCCAUAGCUCAGGGGUAGAGCAUCUGCUUUGCGUACAGAAGGUCCUAAGUUUGAUCCCUGGCAUCUCCA